rnacentral:rRNA from 1 species
UACGUAGGGGGCAAGCGUUGUCCGGAUUUAUUGGGCGUAAAGAGCGUGUAGGCGGCCAGACAGGUCCGUUGUGAAAACCCGAGGCUCAACCUCGAGAUGUCGAUGGAAACCGUCUGGCUAGAGUCCGGAAGAGGAGUGUGGAAUUCCUGGUGUAGCGGUGAAAUGCGCAGAUAUCAGGAGGAACACCGGUGGCGAAGGCGGGUCUCUGGGCCGAUACUGACGCUGAGGAGCGAAAGCGUGGGGAGCGAACAGG